UACGUAGGGUGCAAGCGUUGUCCGGAAUUAUUGGGCGUAAAGAGCUCGUAGGCGGUUCGUCGCGUCGGCUGUGAAAAACCUGAGGCUCAACCUCAGGCCUGCAGUCGAUACGGGCGGACUUGAGUACUGCAGGGGGAGACUGGAAUUCCUGGUGUAGCGGUGAAAUGCGCAGAUAUCAGGAGGAACACCGGUGGCGAAGGGCGGG
rnacentral:rRNA from 1 species